rnacentral:miRNA from 14 species
GGCAGGGAAGACAAGGUGGUUUGUGCAUGCUUGCCCUGGGCUUUGGAACAGGUCACCUGAUGGUGGCAGAGGAGUUAGAUGUACAUCCUUCAGCCUUUAUGAGUUGUGUGUA